UAUUCUGGCCACAGGAGGGCGGAGCGAGUUCGGUUGCACUAACACCGGUACAUAGGCACAGCCCGGCGUGUCCUUGGACUUAGAGAGCGGGACGUCCGGCUGCCAGCUCGGGACUUUGGUACUGUCAGCAACCAAAGAGCGAAUUAAAUAUGGGUGAUGUUGAGAAAGGCAAGAAGAUUUUUGUUCAGAAGUGUGCCCAGUGCCAUACUGUGGAAAAAGGAGGCAAGCACAAGACUGGGCCAAAUCUCCA